ACACAUGCAAGUCGAGGGGCAGCAUCAUCAAAGCUUGCUUUGAUGGAUGGCGACCGGCGCACGGGUGAGUAACACGUAUCCAACCUGCCGACAACACUGGGAUAGCCUUUCGAAAGAAAGAUUAAUACCGGAUGGUAUAGUUUUCCCGCAUGGGAUGAUUAUUAAAGAAUUUCGGUUGUCGAUGGGGAUGCGUUCCAUUAGGCAGUUGGCGGGGUAACGGCCCACCAAACCUACGAUGGAUAGGGGUUCUGAGAGGAAGGUCCCCCACAUUGGAACUGAGACACGGUCCAAACUCCUACGGGAGGCAGCAGUGAGGAAUAUUGGUCAAUGGACGAGAGUCUGAACCAGCCAAGUAGCGUGAAGGAUGACUGCCCUAUGGGUUGUAAACUUCUUUUAUACGGGAAUAAAGUGAGCCACGUGUGGCUUUUUGUAUGUACCGUAUGAAUAAGGAUCGGCUAACUCCGUGCCAGCAGCCGCGGUAAUACGGAGGAUCCGAGCGUUAUCCGGAUUUAUUGGGUUUAAAGGGAGCGUAGGCGGGUUGUUAAGUCAGUUGUGAAAGUUUGCGGCUCAACCGUAAAAUUGCAGUUGAUACUGGCGACCUUGAGUGCAACAGAGGUAGGCGGAAUUCGUGGUGUAGCGGUGAAAUGCUUAGAUAUCACGAAGAACUCCGAUUGCGAAGGCAGCUUACUGGAUUGUAACUGACGCUGAUGCUCGAAAGUGCGGGUAUCAAACAGGAUUAGAUACCCUGGUAGUCCACACAGUAAACGAUGAAUACUCGCUGUUGGCGAUAUACAGUCAGCGGCCAAGCGAAAGCAUUAAGUAUUCCACCUGGGGAGUACGCCGGCAACGGUGAAACUCAAAGGAAUUGACGGGGGCCCGCACAAGCGGA
rnacentral:rRNA from 1 species